rnacentral:lncRNA from 1 species
UUGAAGGAAUUGUCAUCUGCUAAAGGUACUUCUUAAAAUAUCCUAUUAGUUCUAGUUUGUAAGCAGUACAACAUACUCAUUUGAGUCCAAUUGUACUGUAGGGACAAGUACACCUGGCUAGAAUGGUGCAACUCUUACUGAAAUCUGCCACUUUCUGAGAGCUCACAGGGUAGCCUAGAAGCCUUAGGUUUUUGCCUUCUAUUGAAAUUCAAGUUUGUAAGAUGAAAAUUAAGUUGUGAUGUCUGAGCAUCAAAGAAUUUGAGGUUUCAAAUACCUGUGAGCCUUUGUUUAUCUUAAUUUAAAUUGCGGCUACUCUGUCAGCUACUCUGAGAGUGCAAGUUUAACUGAUGUAACUUCUCUGAAGAUGGACUCUGGUCCCUUUAGUCUAUGAGAUCAUUCAAGUAUGGAGACUUGGCAGCUUCUCUGUACGUACAAAGACGGCUGUUUGAAUGUCAGACUGAGUGUCUUUCUGGCUAAAGAGAGGUGGUACACGUGCCGCUCACAGUGCAAGUCUGAGCUUCUGCUUCGAGCAGUAUUUGAGAAAUGCUAAAAGUGCCAGAAAUACAGUAAAUACAUAUAGUUUCCACAUGCUGCUUGGCUGGUUAUCUGGUUCCAUUCUUCGUGUCAAAAGAGUCAAGAAACCAAGACAUUACUGUUCAUUGCAAGGUGGGUCGUGUUGUUAAAGCCCUGUACUUACUAAAGAAAAGCUGUUCGUCCUUUAGGUGUGUUUCAAACCAGAAAAUAAAAAUGUCAAAAUCUGUGCA